GACGAACGCUGGCGGUGUGCUUAACACAUGCAAGUCGAACGGAAAGGCCCUGCUAUCGUGGGGUGCCCGAGUGGCGAACGGGUGCGUAACACGUGAGCAACCUGCCCUUGAUUUUGGGAUAGCUUCAGGUAACUGGGGUUACUCCCGGACAGCAGCUCCUCUACCAUUGAGGGGGUUGGAACGUCUCGGCGGUAGCGGAUGGACUGGCGGCUUACCAGCUAGCUGGUUGGGGAGUUGCUUACCAAGGAUUUGACGGGUAGGCCGCCGGAGAGGGUGACCGGCGACAUGAGUACUAAGAGAGGGCGCAGUGGCCUAUGGGAGGCAACAGUGGGGAAUAUUGCACAGUGGGCGGGAGUCUGAGAAGGCAACGCCGCGUGCGGGAUGACGGCCUGCGGGUUGUAAACCGCUUUCGCCUGUGACGAAGCGGGUGUGACGGUAAUGAGUAAAUAAGCACCGGCUAACUACGUG
rnacentral:rRNA from 1 species